UCGCCUGUUUAUCAAAAACAUCGCCUCUUGAAAACAUAACAUAAGAGGUCCUGCCUGCCCAGUGACUAAAUGUUUAACGGCCGCGGUACUCUGACCGUGCGAAGGUAGCGCAAUCACUUGUCUUUUAAAUGGAGACCUGUAUGAAUGGCACGACGAGGGCUUGACUGUCUCCUUUUUCUAGUCAAUGAAAUUGAUCUUCCCGUGCAGAAGCGGGAAUACUAUCAUAAGACGAGAAGACCCUGUGGAGCUUUAGACACUGAAUCAGCCCUUGUCCAAAACCCCUAUUAAAGGACUGAACACUAGAGUGCAACCUGAUCCAUGUCUUCGGUUGGGGCGACCUCGGGGUAUAAGCCACCCCCCGCGAGGAACGGGAAUCCCACUCCUUUAACCAAGAGCCACCACUCAAAGUACCAAUAUUUUUGACCUACUAUAUGAUCCAGCUUACGCCGAUCAACGGACCAAGUUACCCCAGGGAUAACAGCGCAAUCCUCUUUUAGAGCCCAUAUCGACAAGGGGGUUUACGACCUCGAUGUUGGAUCAGGACAUCCUAAUGGUGCAGCCGCUAUUAAGGGCUCGUUUGUUCAACGAUUAAAGUCCUACGUGAUCUGA
rnacentral:rRNA from 1 species